rnacentral:rRNA from 1 species
GAUGAACGCUGGCGGCGUGCCUAACACAUGCAAGUCGAGCGAGAAAUUCAAGAUCAAAUCUUCGGAAGAGAGAAAGAAUGGAAAGCGGCGGACGGGUGAGUAACGCGUAGGUAACCUGCCCUGUACAGAGGGAUAGCCACUGGAAACGGUGAUUAAUACCUCAUAAUACCGGAAGUUCACAUGGACAAUCGGUCAAAGAUUUAUCGGUACAGGAUGGACCUGCGUCUGAUUAGUUAGUUGGUGAGGUAACGGCUCACCAAGGCGACGAUCAGUAGCCGACCUGAGAGGGUGAUCGGCCACAUUGGAACUGAGACACGGUCCAAACUCCUACGGGAGGCAGCAGUGGGGAAUAUUGCACAAUGGGGGGAACCCUGAUGCAGCAACGCCGCGUGAAUGAAGAAGGCCUUUGGGUCGUAAAGUUCUGUUCUGAGGGAAGAAGAAAGNGACG